ACAGAAGAAGCACCGGCUAACUCCGUGCCAGCAGCCGCGGUAAUACGGAGGGUGCAAGCGUUAAUCGGAAUUACUGGGCGUAAAGCGCGCGUAGGCGGUUAAACAAGUCAGAUGUGAAAGCCCCGGGCUCAACCUGGGAACUGCAUUUGAAACUGUUUAGCUAGAGUGUGGUAGAGGAGAGUGGAAUUUCAGGUGUAGCGGUGAAAUGCGUAGAUAUCUGAAGGAACACCAGUGGCGAAGGCGGCUCUCUGGACCAACACUGACGCUGAGGUGCGAAAGCGUGGGUAGCAAACGGGAUUAGAUACCCCGGUAGUCCACGCCGUAAACGAUGUCAACUAACUGUUGGGCGGGUUUCCGCUUAGUGGUGCAGCUAACGCAAUAAGUUGACCGCCUGGGGAGUACGGCCGCAAGGCUAAAACUCAA
rnacentral:rRNA from 1 species